rnacentral:lncRNA from 1 species
CACCUGCAUCCCUUUCUCCCAGAAGAAAGUCAGAGGUCACUGAUGCUCCUCCAGAAACUGGAAGUUGUAGGGGAAGAGAAUGGUCUGGUAAUGUGGCUGUCCAGAGGAGCAGGCUCAUUUCUACCCUUGUUACCUGUCUAGGAGUAUGUUUGUGUGUGUGUCUGUGUGUGUACGUGCUCAUGUACACUUCUCACCCAGGGAAGAGGGUGAGGUUGAGUAUCUAAUUUUCCAAGACUCAAUUUUGGAAGGAGAGGUGGCAGGGUCUGGUGACCUUCUGCAUAUCAAGCUUCCCUAGAAUUCUCCAUGGGGCGGUGUAGGGAGGGUUGAGUCCCUCAUAUACCCUAGGGAGCUGGCUGUUGAAGGGAAAAGCAAAAGGAGUUUGUGUUGAAUUAGGUGGACUGAGAGUGGGUGCCACCUGGAAGCCCUAGCUCACCCCAGAGGGUGCUGAAAGGGGCUUCCACACACAAGAGGGUCUCAGUCCUGGACUAGGUCCUUGAAUAAAGAGCACAUGAGCUUUCCCUUCUCAGUGUCUAAGAAGAGACACCACUGAUGCCCUCAGAGGACCCCUAUUCUGAUGGGAAGCUCCUGUCUUGAAAGCCCCUAUUCUAAUGGGGGAAUACAUGACCUCUCUCCCAUCUGAUAUGGGGAGAUAAGACCCAUGUAGGGAAUCAGUGAAGUCUGAAAAAUUCUUUAUUGCCCACUGAUUGGAGAAGGGUGAGUUUAGAAACUAUGUAGAAAAAUAGACAGGAGAACUACUAUGACAGCUUUCUGGAAGAGGGGACAGCUGGGCCCUAGUGUCAGAUAAGACUUUGUGAUCCAGUGUGAGAAUUUGGUUUAUUCUUUAGGGUAGCCUCCCUUCUCAUCUGACCCCUCAGGGCAGGAAGAACCAUUCUAGAUCUUGGCUACUAUUAAUCCCCAGAGUUCAAGAAUGUUGGGAAGGUUCUUGGAGGCCCUGCAUCACCAACCCCUCCCCUACCUGCUCAGCCCCAGGUAUCCAUGGUGUCUGGGGUGGAGGUGGUUUUAAUAUGGUUUUAAUACUUCCCCUAAUCCCAGGCUGUGUAUACCAGCUCUCCUGUCUCUACCCUGUCCCUUCCCCUAGGGGGUGUUUUUUCCUCAGGAGUACCCCAGGAAUUUCAGGCCAUCCCUCAAGAUAGCGCUAAGAACCGGGCAUGGGUCAAGGCAGAGUUCUGCUUCUUAUCUUCUGCAUCUCAAGUUUUCACAUCUGAAAAGUGGGGAUACUAAGAUCUCAAGCCUGGCUGGCUCACAGUGAGACCAUUAGAAACAGAGGAGGAGGGGCAGAAGGUAUGUGCUCCAGCUUCUGCACAUCUGUCAAGGACAUGGUGUAAUCCAGUGCCCUGCCCUUUUCUAAGGGACCUGAGUGUUAGAAGUAACUGAAGAUCAUGUCUUACUUAUGCAGUGUUCCUGCCUUAAACCAUCAGUGACUCCCAGGCUUCCUCCUUGUCUUCUCAUCAGUAUUCCCCUACAUCUGCUAGGAAAACCUGUCCAAAUGCUUUCACCUGCUAUAUCCGGCUUCCCUACCUGCCAUCCCUUCCUGCUUCCCACCAAAUAAGCAAACAAGAACAAAAUAACGUGGUCCAUCCACACUCCUUCCCGGAACAUACUUGAUGCUCUGAGCAUUGGCUGUCCACUGUUCUGCUGUGAGUACUCCUCAUACCCUCCUGCAUCUGUGCGUCUGUCAAGAACAGGGAGAACUGUGAGUCUGCCUAGAACAGUGGCCCUGCUGAUGGUGCCAGUUUCCUGAAUAGCUCAUGUUCAGAAAGGCAGGUGGUGAGAGCCCCAGUGGACGGUGGGGAGGGGGGAAGCAGGAUUGGAUGGUGGAUGGAAGACGGAUACAGAACUGAUAGUUGCAAAGAUGGGUGGGUGGAUGGAUUGAG